rnacentral:rRNA from 1 species
UACGUAGGGAGCAAGCGUUGUCCGGAAUCAUUGGGCGUAAAGCGCGCGUAGGCGGCCCUGUAAGUCCGUUGUGAAAGUCAAAGGCUCAACCUUUGAAAGCCGAUGGAUACUGCAGGGCUAGAGUCCGGAAGAGGCGAGUGGAAUUCCUGGUGUAGCGGUGGAAUGCGCAGAUAUCAGGAGGAACACCGGUGGCGAAGGCGGGUCUCUGGGCCGUAACUGACGCUGAGGAGCGAAAGCGUGGGGAGCGAACAGG